rnacentral:lncRNA from 1 species
CGCACCUUCCUGGAUCAUAAUCACCCCCUUAUAAACAAGGCAUGGACUCCCCAGCGACCCCCGUGGGCUUAUCUCCGCCACUUCUCAGUCUGGUGCUCCGCAAUGAACUAUGCUCUACAAAAGAUAAAGCCGUUGCCCAUGCUGGCUUGUGGUUGGCACGGUUAAUGUUUCACAACCGAAACUCGUGAACCGGUCCUUAAUUGUCAUGAGCACGACCUUCAAAACCAUGUGCUCAC